GGGGCUGUCCUGGUUUCGACGUGGGUUCGGGAUCAGUGUGGUGCAUGUCGAGCUUGAGUGAUGCUCGUAAAUCUCCAUUCAAAAAAACUAACUGCAAACGACGAACGUUUCGCACUCGCCGCUUAAAUCCGGUGAGCCUUGCAACAGCACGCUGAUGGGCUGGGCAAAGGGGUAGCAAUACCUCUCGGCUGCAAGGGAAUUCACAUCAGCUGGCUUGGUACCGGGCACCUUGGUAUUUGGCAAGAUUCAAGGGUGCUGGCCUUGUUUGAAGCGUGUGUCUGCGCGGCAUACAGGGCGAGAUUAAAAAUCAGAACACUAAACAUGUAGAUCUGCCUGACGAAGGCUUGCGGACGCGGGUUCAAUUCCCGCCAGCUCCACCA
rnacentral:tmRNA from 1 species